GUCUAACCUGUUAAUAUGACUAAAUUCUAAAAAAUGUCCAUUCUCAUUCAUAGCUGUUUUCUUUCAGCCCAGGCUAUAACAUGAAUUUCCAUUAAUUACUGUCCUUGUUGAAAAUAGGUCAGGAUGUGUUCGGAUGCAGGCGGUUGUGGGAAGGGUGACAAGUGAAUGUUCCGUGGACCAUCGUCCUACUUCGAAUGUGUGUCAGGGCUUGUCUGGACCAGCUGCCUCCGCAGAAUUUCAGCAGAGAAAUCGGCUUCUGUCACAGACAGUGGGCCUGCAGCAGUGCUGGCUCAGUCAGCCCCCAUUCCUUGCUUCGCACCCAGACGGCUAUCAGCAUUGAUUCCUAUAGGGAUGGAUCCUCCUCAUCCUCUCCCUCUAGAAACAGAACAGAGAUGAGAUGCAAAGACACAGGUUCCGUUCUCCUGAGAGACUCUUCAAGCAUCGAUUGAGAUGUCAAAGCUGACACCCUGUCAUAGCUAAUAACCCUCAUGUGGCCAGAAGAGGUGAAAUGAUUUUGCAGAAACACAUAGUAUUUAGUGAAAAUAUUUAUUAAAAAACUGC
ensembl:lincRNA